CCCCGCUCGAUCUCCACCUGGUCCGUCUCGUCGGCGGCGAGUUGCUGGUGUGAAACCCCUGCAGGGUUAUGCUGGUCGGUUGGGGUAGUUGGGGAGGUCCGUCGACGGCAUGGGCGAACGGAUCGACGCUACCGAGGUGGGGACAGACGGGGUGAGAUGGGUCCUUCGCCGUCGCGGCCCUGCGAAUCGACGCGUCCGAGGCGGCGGCGGGGUAGCAGGGGUCGCUGAACGAGAUGCGCCUGCUCAGCCUCGCGAAUCGACACGGCCGAGGCUGUUGGACGUGCUUCAAGGUGUCCCUAACAGAGUUUCAGCGGCGUGGUUCUGUUCAUAAAAAACUCGGCUUUCUACUUCACUGCGCACUCAUGUCGCUUGCAAUUGCAGUGAGCAUAACCUGAAGGAUCUCAUACAUGUCAGUUGUGAGUGGUGGUACAAAGUUUGGAUCUCACGAACUUUGUGAAAUACAAGAUGCUCUUUUGUUUAUUGCUUUCACAGUAAACCAUUUUAUACAUCCUGGAUCUUCUUUUUUCCUGCUCCAGAGCGUAUAUCAUAUCAGUUCUUCCUA